rnacentral:lncRNA from 1 species
AUGAAGUAACACUUCCCUAUCCAUUAACCCUUAGAGAGGCCUCCACUCCCCUAAGGAUUUAGCUGCAGUCUGAGGUGAGAAGGACAGACCUCUGCCCCCAGAAUGGCAACCUCCGUGUCCCUUAGAACAGGAGCAAUGUUGAGGAACCUGUCAAGACUUGAUAUGUACAUGGAGGGCAAAAGUUAAAUAAAGACGUUUACAUAAACAGGAAAAAAGGUUCUUCCAUCCACACAGUAGUCAUUUAUUUGUAUAUGCUGACAGGAUAAAGCUGCUAAACCACUGUUUUUGCUUCAGCCAGGGAAUUUUUUAUAACAUACCUUUUGUUUUUUGGCUUCCCAGCCCUUAGUCAUGCUUCCACUGGCCUUUUGGACAGGCCUGGAACAUCCUCAUCUCCUCUCAGUCUUGAGCUUGGCUCAGCCUGACUUCAGAUCCUGACUCCCAGCCAGGGAUAGCUCAGCUUUCACAGCUGGACAUGGCUUCGUGCACCAGUGCCCACACCGCUGGCUGUGCUUUUCCUGUCAGAGCAUAAGCAUUUUGUGGUGAAUUCACAGAAAUUUAUUUUUUAAGUGAUGCAGGACUACCUUGUUUGUAGGAGCUUCCUGCUCUGGAGAUCUCACAACCUGUCUUCUGGAAUUUCAUAUAAACCAGCUAAGCUGUAAAACAUGCAAUUUUUUUCCCUGUGGUUGAUCUUCCCAAGCAGCCUCCCACUUAGAGAGUAUGUCCCAGCCCUCUCAGAUGCCUUGGGAGAGGAUCUCUUAAAGCUGGUGGAGCUGCAUCAUCUCUGCAGGACUCGGGAAGACGGCAGCCCUGCAGCUGAUCCAGCCCAGCCUGCAUACAGCUGGCCUCCAGGUUGAGCAAGGCCAGGUGGGAGCAUUGCCGUAGCAGAGCUCUGCCUGUUGUACCAUGUCCUCUCUGUUGCACUGCUGGUUGGGUGCAUCUGCCUGUGCCAUGGGUCUUUGUUCUAAGAUGCUCUAAGAUUAUUUCCUGACCAAAUUUUGUGUAUCCUUCAGGGGGCAGUUGUGCAAGGGCACUUGAGCAGAUCCAUCGGCAGUUGUGUGCAGUUUUACACCCAGGUAUAGGGUAACAUUUCUACCCUUUCCCACAGAUGUGUUGGCUAGACAAGGUUUAAAGCAGCAGACAUGGAUUAGGGGUUCUUCCAUGUAAAAGUUUUGG